rnacentral:sRNA from 1 species
GCCGGGCGUGGUGGCGGGUGCCUGUAAUCCCAGCUACUUGGGAGGCUGAGGCAGGAGAAUCGCUUGAACCUGGGAAGCGGAGCUUGCAGUGAGCGGAGAUCGUGCCACUGCACUCCAACCUGGGCGACAGAGUGAGACUCUGUCUGAAAAAAAUAAAAACAAAAAUAAAAAAUGAGAUAUGGACAGAAUUUCGUUCUUUGCUGAACAGGCUGGAGUGCAAUGGCGCAAUCUAGCCUUCACUACAACGUCCGCCUCCUGGGUUCAAGUGAUUCUCCAGCCUCA